UUCGUUGAUAGAGCAGCUUUCUAGAUGCAGCGCUGUUCACAUGUGACUGGUAUUUACCUUCUUUCAUCAAACAUGUCUUUAGAAUCGACUCAAGGCAAGAUGCAGUAGAGAAAUGUAAGAAUCAACUAGAGUAGCCAUUUAACUAGUAGGUACAUGUUCUCCAGCAAGUUCUUCAGCAUCUUUUCCAGAAGCAUUCAACAGCCAAGGAAGCAGGCUACACCUCACCUACUCCUUCCUGGGCUAAAGAUCUCAGACUUAGUUGCUUAAUUUGGGAAAAAUAAAUUAAAGAAUUCUUCUAUCAUUAUAC